GAUGAACGCUGGCGGCGUGCCUAAUACAUGCAAGUCGAGCGAACAGACGAGGAGCUUGCUCCUCUGACGUUAGCGGCGGACGGGUGAGUAACACGUGGAUAACCUACCUAUAAGACUGGGAUAACUUCGGGAAACCGGAGCUAAUACCGGAUAACAUGUUGAACCGCAUGGUUCAACAGUGAAAGACGGUCUUGCUGUCACUUAUAGAUGGAUCCGCGCCGCAUUAGCUAGUUGGUAAGGUAACGGCUUACCAAGGCAACGAUGCGUAGCCGACCUGAGAGAGUGAUCGGCCACACUGGAACUGAGACACGGUCCAGACUCCUACGGGAGGCAGCAGUAGGGAAUCUUCCGCAAUGGGCGAAAGCCUGACGGAGAAACGCCGCGUGAGUGAAGAAGGUCUUCGGAUCGUAAAACUCUGUUAUUAGGGAAGAACAAAUGUGUAAGUAACUAUGCACGUCUUGACGGUACCUAAUCAGAAAGCCACGGCUAACUACGUG
rnacentral:rRNA from 1 species